GUCUACAGCCAUGCCACCCUGAACAUGCCUGAUCCCGUCUGAUCUCAGAAGCUAAGCAGGGUUGGGCCUGGUUAGUACUUGGAUGGGAGACCACUUAGGAAGACCAGGUGCUGUAGGCA
rnacentral:rRNA from 1 species